GUGGGGAAUAUUGGACAAUGGGGGAAACCCUGAUCCAGCAAUACCGCGUGUGUGAAGAAGGCCUUAGGGUUGUAAAGCACUUUCAAUAGGGAGGAAAAAGAGAUGGCUAAUACCCAUUUUAUUGACAUUACCUAUAGAAGAAGCACCGGCUAACUCCGUGCCAGCAGCCGCGGUAAUACGGAGGGUGCAAGCGUUAAUCGGAAUUACUGGGCGUAAAGCGUGCGUAGGCGGCUUAAUAAGUCAGAUGUGAAAGCCCUGGGCUUAACCUAGGAACUGCAUUUGAGACUGUUAAGCUAGAGUUGAGUAGAGGUAAGUGGAAUUUCAGGUGUAGCGGUGAAAUGCGUAGAUAUCUGAAGGAACACCAGUGGCGAAGGCGACUUACUGGACUCAAACUGACGCUGAGGUACGAAAGCGUGGGUAGCAAACAGGAUUAGAAACCCCUGUAGUCC
rnacentral:rRNA from 1 species